CUCGCGAUACUCUAGGCUCGCGUCUACUUUCAUGCGGAGCGAGCGCGGUGGCGUAAUCACGUGUUUUAAUUGCUGGGUGUUAAUGGAUGUGAUUUCUUUCUCGGUUGUCUUGCUUUAUAUUUUUUAAUCGUUUGUUAUCUAUUCUGAUUGUUACACGAACAACAAGUAGAAGAUAGGCAAAAAAACCCUAAAGUUAAGUAUCCAUCUUCCUAAAUCCAAGUGUUGUUUUUUUUAUCCUCUGGUUUUCUUUUUCUGUUUAAUGUAUGCCCGGAUAAAAAAGUCUCCAGACUUUUUUUUUAUACCACAUAGUAAGAAUUCAGCCCCAAAGGAUUUAAGAUCAACAUGCCUGGGCAGGAUGCUGACUGGCUGGCUUCACCCAACCCUAAAGCAGAAAAAUCUGCCUUGGCUCCUAAUGAGUGGACACAAUAUCAGAACAUUUCAGCUAGCAGGGCACACUAUUGACCUUGAGGUGGUCAUCCUUGAAUAAAGGGACUUCAAAGGGAAACUCCAGCAUGAAACUACUGAAUUGCAAGUUAUCAAGAAGUUCAGUUUGAUUCAUUUGGGACUAAAAAGAGACAGUGGUUUCCUGUUCCAUUAUGGGUGCUAAUUUACUCAGCAGUGCUAAGAUCAUUAUGUUAUCACCAAUUACUGCUGUUGUGAAGGAUCACUGUGCCUAUUUUGCAAACAUCUAAACUGUAAUUAAAUUGUUAC